GAGUACGACCGCAAGGUUGAAACUCAAAGGAAUUGACGGGGGCCCGCACAAGCGGUGGAGCAUGUGGUUUAAUUCGAAGCAACGCGAAGAACCUUACCAGGUCUUGACAUCCUUUGACCACUCUAGAGAUAGAGCUUUCCCUUCGGGGACAAAGUGACAGGUGGUGCAUGGUUGUCGUCAGCUCGUGUCGUGAGAUGUUGGGUUAAGUCCCGCAACGAGCGCAACCCUUAUUGUUAGUUGCCAUCAUUUAGUUGGGCACUCUAGCGAGACUGCCGGUGACAAACCGGAGGAAGGUGGGGAUGACGUCAAAUCAUCAUGCCCCUUAUGACCUGGGCUACACACGUGCUACAAUGGGAAGUACAACGAGUCGCUAGACCGCGAGGUCAUGCAAAUCUCUUAAAGCUUCUCUCAGUUCGGAUUGCAGGCUGCAACUCGCCUGCAUGAAGCCGGAAUCGCUAGUAAUCGCGGAUCAGCACGCCGCGGUGAAUACGUUCCCGGGCCUUGUACACACCGCCCGUCACACCACGAGAGUUUGUAACACCCGAAGUCGGUGAGGUAACCUUUUUGGAGCCAGCCGCCUAAGGUGGGAUAGAUGAUUGGGGUGAAGUCGUAACAAGGUAACCAAGGGCGAAUUCGCGGCC
rnacentral:rRNA from 1 species